UACGUAGGGGGCAAGCGUUGUCCGGAAUCAUUGGGCGUAAAGCGCGUGUAGGCGGCUGAGUAAGUCUGCUCUGAAAGCCCGGGGCUCAACCCCGGGAGGCGGGUGGAUACUGCUCAGCUCGAGUCCGGAAGAGGAGUGUGGAAUUCCUGGUGUAGCGGUGAAAUGCGCAGAUAUCAGGAGGAACACCAAUGGCGAAGGCAGCAGCCUCUGGGACGGUACUGACGGCUGAGACGCGAAAGCGUGGGGAGCAAACAGGG
rnacentral:rRNA from 1 species